CAGCCGCCGCGGUAAUACGAGGGGGGCAAGCGUUGUUCGGAAUUAUUGGGCGUAAAGGGUGCGUAGGCGGUUUGGCAAGUUUGGUGUGAAAUCUUCGGGCUCAACUCGAAGUCUGCACCGAAAACUGCCGGGCUUGAGUAUGGGAGAGGUGAGUGGAAUUUCCGGUGUAGCGGUGAAAUGCGUAGAUAUCGGAAGGAACACCUGUGGCGAAAGCGGCUCACUGGACCAUUACUGACGCUGAGGCGCGAAAGCUAGGGGAGCAAACAGGAUUAGAUACCCCGGUAGUCCCUGUCUCUUAUAC
rnacentral:rRNA from 1 species